rnacentral:rRNA from 1 species
GAUGAACGCUGGCGGCGUGCCUAAUACAUGCAAGUCGAGCGAACAGACGAGGAGCUUGCUCCUCUGACGUUAGCGGCGGACGGGUGAGUAACACGUGGAUAACCUACCUAUAAGACUGGGAUAACUUCGGGAAACCGGAGCUAAUACCGGAUAAUAUAUUGAACUGCAUGGUUCAAUAGUGAAAGACGGUUUUGCUGUCACUUAUAGAUGGAUCCGCGCCGCAUUAGCUAGUUGGUAAGGUAACGGCUUACCAAGGCAACGAUGCGUAGCCGACCUGAGCGGGUGAUUGGCCACACUGGAUCUGAGACACGGUCCAGACUCCUACGGGAGGCAGCAGUAGGGAAUCCUACGCGAUGGGCGAAAGCCUGACGGAGCAACGCCGCGUGAGUGAUGAAGGUCUUCGGAUCGUAAAACUCUGUUAUUAGGGAAGAACAAAUGUGUAAGUAACUAUGCACGUCUUGACGGUACCUAAUCAAAAAGCCACGGCUAACUACGUG